AUACGGAGGGUGCAAGCGUUAAUCGGAAUUACUGGGCGUAAAGGGCGCGUAGGCGGUCUAUCAAGUCAGGUGUGAAAUCCCACGGCUCAACCGUGGAGGUGCAUCUGAAACUGAUAGACUUGAGUAUGGGAGAGGAAAGUGGAAUUCCCGGUGUAGGGGUGAAAGUCGUAGAUAUCGGGAGGAACACCAGUGGCGAAGGCGACUUUCUGGACCAAUACUGACGCUGAGGCGCGAAAGCGUGGGGAGCAAACAGGAUUAGAAACCCUUGUAGUCC
rnacentral:rRNA from 1 species